GACCCUUUAAAAAAAGCAAAAAAAAAAAAAAAAAAAAAAAAGGCAAAGAAAAGAAACAAUACUGCAGCCAUGGGGCGGGGUCCUGGUUCCUCUUCAAGGAAUAUGCAUAACAAUAAUUUCGAGUUCUUCUAUAGAAAUAAAACCCCCAACAAAUGAAAGCCAGAGAGGAGGACCACCAGCACCAGUCCUGGGGCCACUAAACACCAACUUCAAAGAAGAAUGAAAGUUUGCAUCUACCCUGAUCCUUAUCGGUGGCCCUAUUUUCUACUCCCAACUAUUCUAAAUACUUCCUGUUCUCUCCCAAAGCAGAGCAUAUAUUUUAAGGCAUUAGCCUGCUGUGGCCUCCUUUGCCUGGCAAAGCAAUAAAGCUAUUUUUUUUCCUCCUUCACCCAAACUCUGUCUCUCUGUUUCUAUUUGGCACCCAUGGACAGAAGCUGAGUUUCAGCAAUAGGUGCACACCUAGAGCCCUGCUUUGCUAGGCUUCUGCCUCACCCUGAAAUGCACAGCAACAUUGACUCUACUAGUUUCUCUAAGACAAGGAAAAUGGUAAAGCACAAGAAUAGACAAGGGGUCUGCUGAGGGCGGAGGAUCCAGUGGGCAGAAAUGUGAGGUCAUGAGGUCCACCAGCCCAAGGAACAUCCCGCUCCCAAUCAGAGUGAGAAAUAAGUAUUGCCUGCCAUAUAAAAGGUCUUCACAAUCAUCAGCCCUUGCAGCCCCCUCCAAGGAUGAGCCAGUGAGCCCUGAGGAAACCCAGAAAGGAAACAAAGAAUACCUGCCAUCCUGCAGCCACCAGACUGCAGCCACUCGCAAGGUAAGCCCUGAGGAAACUCAGGAUGUGAAAACAGGAUACUAGCAUAUCAAAGGAGGGAUUUCACAGAGCCCAAAGCUUGCCUCUUCCCACACAUAGAAAAACACCAAAUUCCUUAACUUGAGGUAUCUAGUUUUCUGUUAUUAGCAAUAAUCUUUCAUUCCUACUACCUGCAACAAAAAGGAGUUUUGUUGCAAAACUCCUUUCCAUCCUAGCUCCUCCCUCGUUUCCUGGGAGCAGAUUUCUCAGGAUUACUUAAGAUGCUGCCUCCCUGACCUAAGUCCUCAGUUUUUUUCACUGAAUAAAACAUAACUUUCAACUUUUAGGUUGUGCAUAUUUUUUUAGUCGGCAGUUACGGUGACCAGUGACAAAGGAACCAGAGCAAUCUUCUCUUCUUCGCCCGAACUCUGCAAGAAUCCAGAGUCUUGGUACCAGCAGAGGCACUUUGGGUCAUUCCACCUCCUUGGGGAGUCCAGACGAAUUUGGGGUUUGAUGGAGCAAGUAGCUGAUGCAUCUUGGAAAGAAGUGUUUGAGGACAGAAGGUGAGAAUCACCUCAAUUUCAAGAUAUGAUGAGCAGCUGGGGAGAGGACAACGCAAGACAUGGAUACUGAAACCCCCACCUGAUGGAAGAAGUUAAAUACAUCAUGACCAGACUGUAACCAUGACAUAAGCUACCACAAUUCUGAGAACUGGCCUCAAAGAAAUGGGAAUGAACCGACCCUGGAACAUUACUUAAAGCAAUAGAGAUUGGAGUUGCCACUGUGGUGCAGUGGGUUAAGAAUUCAGCUGCACCAGCUUGGGUUGUGGCAGAGGCACAGUUUGAUCCCUGGCCUGGGAUCAAAGAUCCAGCAUUGCUGCAGCUGCUAUGUAGUUCACAGCUUUAGCUCAGCUUCAGUCCCUGGCCUGAGGAACUGCCUUAUAUUGUGGGUGUGACCAUAAAACAAGAAAGCAAACAGUAACCCUGAAGUUUUGAUG